GCCAUGGGGAGGAGAAACAAUAAGCCAGCCCUUUCCUGUGAGCUGACCAGCAAUGCAGGCUGGGAGACAAGAAGAGCCGAGUCCCCCUACUCCCAGCUGAUCCACAGAAACAAGCUGGGAUGAUUGCUACUGAGGCAGUUGGGGAUCUUGGCCAGUUCCCCAACAACUGACUCCUAAAUAGGGAUAUCCUAAUUAGGCCUGAGAAGAAAGACCCACCAGAGCGGAAAGAAGAGGAUGUGAGAUGCUUUUGCUGUUUUGUGCCACCUUGAAGUUUUGCUCCUGUGCCAUGCCACCCUGCCUUGGAGCCAGCUGAUUAUGGACUGAAACUUACACAAACUGUGAGCUAAUUAACCCUUUCCUCUCUUAAUUUUGGGUGUUGAAUAUUUUGUCUCAGUAAUGAGAGAAAAGUAACCAACACAGCUACUACCUAUUGCAAAAAACUUACAAGAAUCAACAUAGAAAAAA